CUUAUCUAACUGAUUCUGUAGGUCCAUAUUGUUUCUUAUAUGCACUUUUUACCAUGUAUUUAGUUGAGAGAAAUAUUCUUGGGAGAACAGAGAGGUGAAAAACCACCAGAUUAGUUUAUGGUGCAACAGUUAUUUCUUGAUUUGUUGAGAUAAGCGAGGCUCUUCAUGUAUGCUUUGUUAUUAAACAAAAUUGUAGUUCUUCUGAUACAUAGAUUGUUGGCAUUAAAAAUCAUAGCAUCACUUACUUUUGAAGCAUAAUAGCGCCU
rnacentral:lncRNA from 1 species